GUUCCACUGGCGCAAUGGUAGCGCGCCAGACUUCUAUUUCGGCAGGGCAUCUGGAGGCUGUGGGUUCGGUAAGUCUAGAGUUCGAACU